ensembl:snRNA U1 U1 spliceosomal RNA
ACGCUUACCUGGCAGGGGAGCUACCAUGACCACAAAGGUGUCUUCCCCAGGGUGAGUUUUAUCCAUGGCACUCCUGAUGGGCUGGCCCCUGCCAUUUCCCCAAAUUUGGGGAAUUUGACUGCAUGGGUUGUGGUAGUGGGGGCUGUGUUGUCGCUCUCCUCUG